UUCUCUUUGGCAUCUUUGAAGGCUGGUUGAAACUGAAACCUGAUUGUCUUGAUUUCGAUUGUAUUGAUUAUGCUGAAGAAUUGUGAAUUCUGCUUCUGUUCUGAUUGUAUUCCUGACCUGUACAGGCGGAAUAACUGUUCACUGCCUCUGUAGCUGAUUCCCCACUGCCAUCGCUGCCAGUUGGUGAGCUAAAUUGUUGCCUUCUCGUGGAGUCCAAGUAGCUCCCACAUCCGGAGCCUCCUCCAACAGUUGGAGAAUGUCUUUGAUGAUUGCGUUUGCUUCAGCUAAGGGCGUUCUUGCUUUAAUCACUUGAACCAGAGUCUCUGACCACCGCUGCUGACGCUGCCAUGCCUGUUUCCCUGUGAAAUGUCACAUCUGUGUUCACUUUCGCCCUGUUUUGUGGCGGAGGCCUCUAGGUAAUUCUCCUACUCUCACCAUUCCUGCCUAUUAUAG